CAGAGGCUGAAGGCUGGGGGCGUGGCCGGCGGAUCUUGCAGAGUGACGUGCGGCUAAACCAAUAGAAAGAGCGGAUCGCGCUGCGAGAGGCGGGGCAGAGAAGAUAGACAGGCGAUUAAACCAAUAGGAGGAGGAAUAGCUUUCCCGCCCAUUCUCUCGCCCCGCCCAGCGUGUUGUUUGUUUGUGAGGAGGCUGAGGGGGGGCGGCAGUUACGUGCGUCCCCUCAGCGCUGAGCGCGCCGCCUCCGUGAGGAGGGGCCGUGAGGGCUCGCAGCCAGAAGCAGCCGGCGGCAAUGGGACAUUCCGUGUAUGAACGAGCUGCGGAACCACGGCUGCCCCAGGGACGUGGAUGAGACUGUAAAACUCCAUUUUGCAAAAAUCUGCUACGGUAAGGAGUGCUCGCUAGCAUGAGGAGUUCGUCACGUCGGGCGUUCAUCUUUUGCUAGUGGUAAAUCCAGGACCCGCCUUCGGCCAACGCCGCCGGCCGCUCCCCAAGCCGCCCUGCCGGCCGCAUAGGAAGGGAAUGAGAAUCGGCCCCGCCGCCGUGGGAGUGGGGACGGGACGGGACCCCCCCGGGCAGCCCCGCGUAAAGUGCAUGGUUUGCUUUUAUUUUUUUUUCUCUUUCUUUCAUUAAAAAAAUAAGAGGAAUAAAACUUUUUCUUCUUUCGGCAAAGGUACUCUCGGGGGGUGGGGGGGGUGGGGAGGGGGGGGGAUUUCAACGACGUUUUGGUCUCUCGGCAAAUAUUGCAGGAGCCAGGACCAGCUCCCGGUUCCUCCUCCGCCAUCUUGUUGGCCUUGUGCUGCCUCCAGGAGCCGCCCAUGGCCUCCAACAGCCGCUGCUGAGCUCCGAGCUUCCCCCUGUGCUGCAGGACGGGGUGAGCGCCUUCCUACACAGCGGGCCUGGAAUGUGCCACGCAGAGCCAACAGCACCACACCCAGCAACAGCCACAGCCCUGGGACAGAGGAGAGAGGGACGGAAGAAGGAAGAGAAGGGAGGAAGGAAGAGGAAGGAAAGAGGAAGGAAAGAGGAAGGAAAGAGGAAG